AGCCUCGUAGCUCAGCUAGAAGAGCGUACGCUGUACACACGUGUAGGUGGCGUCCAUGCGUGGGUUCAAAUCCCACCGAGGCUA
rnacentral:tRNA from 1 species